UCGUAUUUGGAGUGAUCAAUU
rnacentral:snRNA from 1 species